UUUUUUCCCUUUUGUUGUUUUGUUUUGUUGUAAGCAUCCAGCCAAAUACAUUGUGUGUGCUUUUUUCCUUUUUUCUUUUUUCUUUAAUGCAACAAAUGGAACUGUCUCUCAGCUGCCUACUACUGCUGCCGUGAUGCAGAUUGGUAAAUGAAUGCUUACAUCUUUGGGGAGAUGGGGCAGGGAAUAAAACAAGUGACUUGUCUUCUGUGCUCUCAGAAGCAGCUAAGUUAAGGGCGUUAAUUGACUGGCUCUUAAAGACAGGAGUGUGACUGGAGAAUUUGUCCAGUCAUGAUCACCCCUUAACACUGAAUCAUACUUUAAUGUUGUUCUUUUCUUUGUUUUUAAUAAAUCUGUUCCUCAGAAAUCUUUCCCUCUGCUUAGGAGGCAAGUAUGGACCAGAGAAAGUCACUUUGGAAGGACAGACAGAGUGACUGUGUCCUACUUAGUUGUGGAUAGGUCAUGCAAAUGUGUGUGUGUGGUGCUGCAGGGCUGGCAGUGGUGGAAGUGUAGGGUGUUUGUGUGCCAAACCAAGGGUACUUGUUUGGUGAUUUUGAGUGGUGGAGCUGGCUGUGCUGGCUCUCACUAGGAAAAUAAUGGUAAUUAUGCUGUUUGUUUGAAGUGUUUGGUGUGGAAAACAUCCUGCUACCUUGUUACAUCCAAAUAAGCAUAUGUUUGUUUGAUUUCCUUCCCUGUCUUCCCCCAGGACCUCCUCCCCAGAUCAAUUCCCAGCAUUUGGGAAGCUUGUACUUACAGGCAUGUGUAACCUGUACCCAGCUUUUGACAACCUUGCAGGUGGAAGCUAAUAAUUUUUUGGCAAACUCUAGAAGUAGCCUGAUACUAUUCUGCUAGUUAAGGAAGUGUGUGUUGUGCAGCAUUGAUCACUCAAAAGCUGAGGAUAGCCAAAUUCAGGAAAGGAAGGAAGCCCGAUCACAAUGAGGAGGGUUGGAGCUGCUGCUUUGACGGUGGGCUUGCAGGCUUAAUCUUAAUCAUGUUCCCAUAACUUAUUAAAAGAGCAAAUCUAUGAAGUUUGUCAUCUUGCUGUGCCUAUGCAAGUGAGUGAGGUGUAAAGACAGAGUGUGCAGGUGCAUCUGCAUUUACUAAAGUGUCAUCAGUGGCUGUACAUCCUCUGAGAAGAAUCCAGCACCAGACAUUAGCUGUGUUUGGAGAAUGAAUGAUGGGCACAAGCUCACCAUAGUCAUGACGUAAUUGACUGUGCGCUCUUUUGAUCACACUGUUCUUCCUUUUCGUAAUGAACAAUUAGAAGCUGUGUGUUCACCAUAACCUUUUUUUUUUUUCCAAGCAAAGCCAAAAUGCCUUUACAGAGUACUUGAGGCAUCCAAAAUAAACUCUGCUAAAUGGAUCUAAACGGACGAACGGGCCAGUCCAGCCUCCUGUUGCCUGGGGCCUGUUUGGCCAGAAGCCAUGGAAGACAGGCACAGCCCGGAUCCGGGAGGCCUGGGGCUGUGCUGCAGGGAGCAACCUUGUUCUUGCAGCCAUCGCAGAGCUAGAGGGAUGGCUUUUACUGCAGUGAUGCCUGUCUGCCCAUGGGAAAGGUGGGGGGGUCUGGAGCGCCAGUCCUGCUAAACUUGCUCUCCAACCGUGCAGACAUACACUUACUUGUGGUUCUGGCACUGGUUGUUAACAGGAAAGAAGCUCAAAAUUCAGUGAGUAUAGUUGUUUGGAAAAGUGUCGUAAAACACACGUGUGCACCACAUGCUCGCAUCCAUGCACGCUUGUCUCAAAAGACAACCUGCUUCAGCCUAACCACCUUGCUGAAGUGUUUAUUGCCACCAAGCAGCUUGGUAGUUUCUUUUUGCAAUUACUAAGCACUCAAUGGAUUUGGUGAAAUCCACUUGUAAUCCUGCUGUUGCUGGUUGUAAAACAUACCAAUACCGGAAAACGGUGUACUUGGCUCUUGCAUGAGCAUCCACUGCCUUGUAUGUACAUGAGGGUUUCUUGUAUUUAUUCAUGGCUGGUGGGGACGGCAAACUCUCCAGGUCUGACUGUCUUCUCUCAGUGGUCUGUGCAGCUCCCUCCAGAACUGUAAGUUACAUAUGCGUAUGAAGGGGAGACCGGACACUUUUGUGUAUAGACUGAUAAUGAAUUAAUAUCUUACAAGCACUGUGAAUAUCUAUUAUGCAAGUUUUUGUAUUCAUAUGAAAAAAACCCCCAACCCUGUUCCUGCUAGUAAUAGAUUUAUUUUUGUUUGUCUUUGGAUUUAGGAGGUCUCAUUACUUUCAGUUUGGAUUAGUUUGGUAGAGGGCAAUGUGUAAGCAUUUAUUAGCUGAUGUUAGAAACUAGCUGCCAAUAUUUGUAUAUAUUUGUAAAAUACUCGUGGUAUAAUCACUCUAUUUUAAUGGUAAAAGUUUCUCCUUUCCAUGAAAGGAAUUUCUUGUUUAAAAUAAAAUAUAAAUAAUUAUAUGUACACCUGCAAUAAAGUAUGGAUAGCAAAA
ensembl:lncRNA